rnacentral:rRNA from 1 species
UACGGAGGGUGCGAGCGUUUAUCGGAAUUACUGGGCGUAAAGCGUGCGUAGGCGGAUGCUUGAGUCGGAUGUGAAAGCCCUGGGCUCAACCUGGGAAUGGCAUUCGAUACUGGGCAUCUAGAGUGUGGUAGAGGGGGGUAGAAUUCCUGGUGUAGCGGUGAAAUGCGUAGAUAUCAGGAGUUAUAUCUAAUGCGAAGGCGACCACCUGGACCAACACUGACGCUGAGGUACGAAAGCGUGGGUAGCAAACAGG